UUUCAGCAAGUCAACAUUGCGGCUCCUUAGUUACAAAAUGUCAACUUUGGAUUUAACGGAAGCUUACGAGAAAAACAUGUAAAUUAAAAAUGGCAAAUGUUGGGUUUGACAAUUUAAAGAAUUAAAAAGUUUUUUUUCUAGCAGUUAUUCACGAAAUGACCUACGAAAGCUACAUAUUUAUAAAGAUAUUUGAGCUUUAUCUAGCAGGGAGUAAAAAAUAACAGCCACACAAACAGC
rnacentral:lncRNA from 1 species